AUACUUACUUGGCGGCGGAAUACCUUGAUCCUAAAAGGUGGUUUUCCCAGGGUGAGGCUUAUUUAUUGCACUUUGCAUGUGCUGAUCCCUGCAAUUUCCUUAAAUGUGGGAAACUCAGCUGCAUAAUUUGUGGUAGUGGGGGAACUGUGUUUGUGCUUUCCCAUA